UAAGGACUUGUUUCCUGGAUUACUGUAGAAACAGAUGAUCAUAACCAGUUUCCCGACUCACUGCCUUACCAGUCAGGGGAUACCUAACUCUGCUCCGUGUUCAAGUGCACCAGUGCCUCUUAGCUGCAAGUGACUGACCCCGAUUCCUGCUUCUGUGCUGUAGACCAUCAGUUCUGGGUGACACAGACCAACACUCCAUGGAUUCAUGAUGUUCUCUGCAUCUGAUAAGGCCAGCAGCAGUAGUGAUGCUCUGAGCACUUCCACCUCUCCGCCCCUCGUCUCCCACCCGGGCAGUACCAGAGAAGAUAAUGAAGAAGUUGAGCAUGUCUGGGGCGGAUCAGCCUUGCAGGCAGAGAGGGGGGCAGUAGCUACUCAGAGCAACCCGAAUGCUUGAAGCAGGAUUUGCUGGAAGGGGACGCUUUGAGGAUAAUCAUGCUUCACAGAAGAACGGCACCGACCUCCAGUUGCAUUAAACACAACCUCCUCCACUAGGGCUCCAGGAAAAAAAAAAGAGAGAGAGAAUAAUUAUAAGAAUAAUCAUUAAAAAGGCGAAAGGAAUGCUUACUCUGGAACCUGCAUUUGACGAUCCUCACCACU